AAAAGACUCAGCAAGCAGUGCAAGAGAACAUGCAGAAUUGCAGAGUGGUAAUUAACAAACAUAUAGGACAGCUGUUUCCAAAUGGGAAAGCUGAAUGUGGAGUCUUCCUGUAAGACACAGAGCCUCACCAAAGUCUUAAAGUAGCUAACCAACAAAGAGGAAAAUUGACAUCUAUUUCUGUGUGGAUAAUUUUACUGUGCUAAUUUUACUGAUGAGGAUUAAAUUCAGAAAACAGAAGGAAAAGCAAGAGGGAAGCCUUUGCUAUCCAAAAGCCACAGAGGGGCCACAGACAGGGCCUACCUCCCCUAAGACUGAAUGGAGAACAAGAUGUCUGUGUCCAAACUGCCUCUGGCACGCUGCCCCUGACUGUGUGCUAUUCCUCUGACAAGAGCCACAACUUCAUGUCAAUAAUUAAACUUCCCACUCGAUUACCAGGAAGUUCCAAGUCCUUACUCUGUGUUGACACAGGAGAAGUGGCUCAUCCUGACAUGGCAAUGGCAUCUGGGCAUUUGUUCAAAACACUCCCAAGAGUCCUUUGUCCCACCAGACAUUCACAUAACUGCGGUCCUGCUUCAGAAGGAUAGACCACUGCUUCUUGACAAGGUCUGCACUGCACAGCCUCUUACUGCUGCCCAUACGUGCUGGUGACCUCCUACAUUUUGUCUGGCCAUUGGUGCCCUGAGCGUCUCCAUUCUUGGGGAUCUGGUAGGACUGCUGCUCUCUGGAGCUUCUCAUUUCUCAGGAAUA
ensembl:lncRNA